rnacentral:rRNA from 1 species
CGGGUGCACUGAUCCAGCCGGGCCUUUCCCUCUGUGGAACCCCAUGGCCUUCACUGGCUGUGGUGGGGAAACAGGACUUUUACUUUGAAAAAAUUAGAGUGCUCCAGGCAGGCCUAUGCUCGAAUACAUUAGCAUGGAAUAAUAGAAUAGGACGUGUGGUUCUAUUUUGUUGGUUUCUAGGACCGCCGUAAUGAUUAAUAGGGACAGUCGGGGGCAUCAGUAUUCAAUUGUCAGAGGUGAAAUUCUUGGAUCUAUUGAAGACUAACUACUGCGAAAGCAUUUGCCAAGGAUGUUUUCAUUGAUAAGGAACGAAAGUUAGGGGAUCGAAGACGAUCAGAUACCGUCGUAGUCUUAACUAUAAACUAUGCCGACUAGGGAUCGGACGAUGUUAUUCUUUGACGCGUUCGGCACCUUUCGAGAAAUCAAAGUGCUUGGGCUCCAGGGGGAGUAUGGUCGCAAGGCUGAAACUUAAAGAAAUUGACGGAAGGGCACCACCAGGGGUGGAACCUGCGGCUUAAUUUGACUCAACACGGGGAAACUCACCAGGUCCAGACACAGUGAGGAUUGACAGAUUGAGAGCUCUUUCUUGAUUCUGUGGGUGGUGGUGCAUGGCCGUUCUUAGUUGGUGGAGUGAUUUGUCUGCUUAAUUGCGAUAACGAACGAGACCUUAACCUGCUAAAUAGCCCGUACUGCUUUGGCAGUUCGCCGGCUUCUUAGGGGGACUAUCGG